GGGCGGGUUCGGGUCCAAAGCACCCACCCAGCCCAACCCGCGGUUGACAUAUGCAGACCCCUCGCUGCCCAUUUUUCUGUUUCGGUUUAGACGGGUUCGGGUAACACGGGUUACGGGUUACGCGGGUCGGUGUAUGCGGGUACAACAUAACUAUUAACAAAGAUUGUUUGCAAGCUCAGGAAAAAAAACCAGGAUCAACAAUCUGAUAUCUAGAUCUAUAUCAUCAAUCAUCAACCAAUAAAAAAUAAAAAACAGAAAGAAGAUGAGAUUUGAGAGGAAAGAAAGGGAGAGGUUGAGGAGGAAGUGGAAGAGCCAUUAUUCUUCUCUGUCCAAUUUCAUUGUGAUUUUGUAUGGUUGUUCCAUCUAAAUGAAAAGAAGGAGAUACAAUGAAGACAAAAACAUUCUCUCUCUUUUAUUUUCUUAUAUGGGAGUUGCAGGUAAAGUAUCACAAAAGAAUAGUCUUUUAAAUGGGAGUAGCUUUUAUUAAUUAUUAUUAUGAAUUAAUAUAGCACCAGAACUUUCCAUCGUAAAACCAAAACUAAUGAUGCCUAUCCUAU
rnacentral:lncRNA from 1 species